rnacentral:rRNA from 1 species
GUCUGUUUGAUUUUAUAUACAGUCUAGCCUGCCCACUGAUUAAUUUAAAGGCCGCGGUAUACUGACCGUGCGAAGGUAGCGUAAUAAUUAGUCUUUUAAUUGAAGACUAGAAUGAACGGCUGGACAAGAAGCAUACUGUCUUAAGCAUAAACAUUGAACUUAACUUUUAAGUGAAAAGGCUUAAAUAUUCUAGGGGGACGAUAAGACCCUAUAAAACUUUAUAUAUACAUAAAUAUAUUGUAAAUUAUUCGUGUAAAUCAAUAUAUCUACCUAUUUAUUUCGUUGGGGCGACGAAAGUAUUUUAAGUAACUACUUUAUUUUUCAACAAUUAUUUUUGACUUCUUUGAUCCUACCUAUAGAUUUUAAGAAAAAGUUACUUUAGGGAUAACAGCGUCAUUUUUUUUAAGAGUUCAUAUCAACAAAAAAGAUUGCGACCUCGAUGUUGAAUUAAAAUCUCCAUGUAAUGCAACAGUUACAAAGGAAGGUCUGUUCGACCUUUAAAAUUUUACAUGAUUUGAGUUCAAACCGGUGUAAG